CAGUCGUGCUAGUGAGGCUCAGCCGGUUCUGCCGGUGUAUUCCCCUCGGUCGGGUCAACAUCAGUUUUGCCCGGUGGAUAAGGACGGUGGGAAGGUGGCACCCUCGGGUGUGUUAUAGCCUGCCGUCGCAUACAUCGGGCGAGACUGAGGAAUGCAGCUCGCCUUUAUGGCCGGGGUUCGCCCACGUCCGAGCUUAGGAUGUUGACGUAAUGGACUUUAAACGCCCGUCUUAGAAACACGGACCAAGGAGUCUAACAUGUAUGCGAGUGUU
rnacentral:rRNA from 1 species